AACAAGGGGGGACCUUCGGGCCUCUUGCCAUCGGAUGUGCCCAGAUGGGAUUAGCUAGUAGGUGGGGUAACGGCUCACCUAGGCGACGAUCCCUAGCUGGUCUGAGAGGAUGACCAGCCACACUGGAACUGAGACACGGUCCAGACUCCUACGGGAGGCAGCAUG
rnacentral:rRNA from 1 species